rnacentral:rRNA from 1 species
CCUACGGGAGGCAGCAGUGAGGAAUAUUGGUCAAUGGGCGCGAGCCUGAACCAGCCAAGUCGCGUGAGGGAUGAAGGUUCUAUGGAUCGUAAACCUCUUUUAUAAGGGAAUAAAGUGUGGGACGUGUCCUAUUUUGUAUGUACCUUAUGAAUAAGGAUCGGCUAACUCCGUGCCAGCAGCCGCGGUAAUACGGAGGAUCCGAGCGUUAUCCGGAUUUAUUGGGUUUAAAGGGUGCGUAGGCGGCCUGUUAAGUCAGCGGUGAAAGUCGGUGGCUCAACCAUGGAAUUGCCGUUGAAACUGGGGGGCUUGAGUAUGUUUGAGGCAGGCGGAAUGCGAGGUGUAGCGGUGAAAUGCUGAGAUAUCACGCAGAACCCCGAUUGCGAAGGCAGCCUGCCAGGCCAUGACUGACGCUGAGGCGCGAAAGCGUGGGGAUCAAACAGGAUUAGAUACCCUUGUAGUC